rnacentral:rRNA from 1 species
ACGGAGGUAGNCCUAAAACUUAANGCAGGGNCAAGAGAANNACGAUCANNGUCUNNUANNUGUANGGNAAACUCUANNGGAGAGAGUGCAAUUCUNCUAUCCAUGCUCUGGGCAGGGAAGGCACGGCUCAGCGNGCUCCCGUCGANCACAUACACCGAGCUCCCGCCCCCGAGGCGGUCGGCGCCCGCCGAGAUAACCAAGACUCUGACUUUAACGACGCUUUCUUCUGAGUGGUACAAGCAAAUAAUCAAAACUUUUAACAACGGAUCUCUUGAGUUCUGGCAUCGAUGAAAGAACGCAGACGAAAUGCGAUAAGUAAUGUGAAUUUGCAGAAUUCAGUGAAUCAUCGAAUCUUUGAACGCACAUUGCGCCCGCCAGCAUUCUGGCGGGCAUGCCUGUUCGAGCGUCAUUUCAACCCUCAAGCUCUGCUUGGUGUUGGGGCCCUACAGCUGAUGUAGGCCCUCAAAGGUAAUGGCGGACCCUCCCGGAGCCUCCUUUGCAGUAGUAACUUUACGUCUCGCACUGGGAUCCGGAGGGACUCUUGCCGUAAAACCCCCAAUUCUCCAAAGGUUGACCUCGGAUCAGGUAGGAAUACCCGCUGAACUUAAGC